rnacentral:lncRNA from 1 species
GACGACGGCGGCGGCGGCGACACCCAUGACUUCCCUCUUCUCACUCUCACUCGCUCUCCUCUCCUUCCUGACGACCGCCGUCGCCGCUUCCGAGUUCACCUUCCACGAGGCCACCAUCGAGUCCAUCCACCUCGCCUUCGCCCAGAACAGGCUCACCUCCCGCCAGCUCGUCGACUUCUACCUGGACCGAAUCCAGACCCUGAACCCCUCCCUCCGCUGCGUCCUGGAGGUCAACCCCGACGCCCUCCAUCAGGCCGACGAGGCCGACCGGCUGCGGGCGGCGGCCGCCGGCGGCAACGGGACCCUGGGGGUUUUGCACGGGAUCCCCGUCCUGCUCAAGGACAGCAUCGGGACCGACGACAAGAUGAACACGACCGCCGGGUCGUACGCGCUGCUGGGGGCUCGCGUCGCGAGGGACGCCUUCGUGGUGGAGAGGUUGCGGAGCGCCGGGGCUGUGAUUCUGGGCAAGGCGAGUAUGAGCGAGUGGUACUGGCUCCGGUCCUCGGAGAUUCCCGAUGGCUGGUGCGCUCGAGGUGGACAGGGCUUGGUAAGUGUAUAUUGCUUCUCAUUUCGCAACCACGCGUUUUAAGUUUUGACGAUGUCGUGAUUGUUUCGAAUUUAACGUGCUUGUGAUGAAUCGGGCAGUCCGAGUAUGCGUCUGAAAGAUUUGAUUUCAUGAUUGAAUCCUCCCUCGAUGGAAGAUGCAGGGACCAGUGAAUAACUAAUGUUGACACUGCGAGCUGUGAUUAGGACAGGCCACAUAUAUGUUAGACAUUUGGAGGAUAAAUGCGCUCGUAGCUGCGGCAUCCGGGUGAGCGUGUGUAUAUGAAAGUACGCAUACUUGUUCAGGUAGUCACUUAGUUUGUCAUGGAUGUUCGGUUUCAGGGUGUGUUCCCCGGCAAGAACUGGGAAUAAUUGCCCUUUCUACUUUGUACUUCUCAUGGGAAAUGAUUUGAUGAAUAAGGUCGUGUGGGCUUUUCAGGUGAAGACCUGCUUCUCAUUAAGUCCUUCUAAAGAGUAUAGUGAUCUCAGGGACAGGUCCUGGACAUUUUCUCAGUGGGUUCAUUGGAGAACACAGGAGAUAUGCGCAUAUAGUUAUAAUGAUCUUGUUAGUGUUUUUUCUAUUGUUCCUGUAGAAUAUAUGUAGAAAAUCUUAAGCAUGAUGAUCUGUCAUUUGAUUUGGUGAUGUCAAAUUGCUUUUUUCUGUUCUUUUGGGUAAUAGUUUCACGUUAUUCGUCACAAGUUGUGUGAAAAACACAACAUUUACCUCUUAUUAUAAGUUCUUGAUCUGGAGUUUUGAAAUUCAUGCAUAUUAUUUUUCUCUUCAUUCUUGUUUGUCCUUCAUAUAUUACAAAACUGAUAAUCCAUGACAUUUCCCUAUCUGGAAAAUUAUAUAAAUGCUUGGUUAACCAUUUGUGCAUCCUCUUAAAAGUAACAGGAUCAUUCAUUAACUAAUUCAUCGCGGUGUUUAUACCAUACGAUUUGAAUUUCUAGUUUGGAUCUUUCACACACAUAAGUUUUGUAUGUUGUUCAAUGUUUAAACUUCUUCCUUUCUUUCAGUUUGAAGUUUUCAAAUUCUUUUUUCUUUCUUGACAGCUUUGCAGAUAUAUUAUAGUGUCAUUUAUAUGGCUGACAGUGGGGUCAAUCUCUGAAGUGUACUUGUCCAUACAAUUCUCCCCUGCAAAAUACUCAAUUAUAUUAUAGACUUUGGAAGUCCAGUGGGUAACUUGCCCCCACUGCACGACACUACAUGCUGCCCCUGUGAUUUUGACUGUGUCAGCGUGGAAAAGAUAUAUAUUUUUUUAUUUAACCUUGCUUCUCUAUGUUGCGUGCUUCUCAUGAAAAAUGAUAUGAUGAAUAUGUUGAAGGUCUGCUUCUCAGUAGGUCCUUCAUACUGUUCUUUGACCCCUAUGUCCAGAGUAAGAGUUUUUAUCCACUAAUUCUUCUCACUCUUACUUUUGCACAUAUUCAGAAUCCUUAUGUGAAGUCGGGCAACCCAUGUGGCUCCAGCAGUGGCUCAGCAAUAGCAGUGGCUGCAAACAUGGUUGCUGUGUCAUUAGGGACUGAAACUGAUGGUUCCAUCAUCUGCCCAGCUGAUCAUAAUUCGGUUGUUGGUUUCAAGCCCACGGUUGGAGUCACUAGUCGGGCAGGCGUUAUUCCACUUUCACCACGCCAAGACUCAAUUGGGUAAUAAUGUUUUGCAGUCUGGGACAGUGGUACCAAUGGCCUGCCUGUAUUUUACUUGUCACUCAUCCAUGAUCCUAUAGUUUGGUUGCUUAAGUUCUAUAAUGUCUAUUUAUUCAAUGUUAAGUCAGGCCCAUAAGCAGAACUGUGUCAGAUGCAAUCCAUGUACUUGAUGCAGUAGUUGGAUUUGAUCCAAGGGAUGAAGCUACAGGGGAAGCAGCCAAAUUCAUACCAAUGGGUGGUUACAAGCAGUUUCUUAGGGAAGAUGGUCUUAAGGGAAAAAGAUUGGGCAUAGUAAGAAAACCCUUUUCAGACUCUUUUAAGGGAGCCACUGCUGCUUCGACUUUUGAUCAGCAUCUUCUAACUUUGAGGUGAGAAUAAAGUGAAUUAGCGAUGCGGACCACUAUGUGUUCUGAAUCAGGGACCACUGCACCAGUGUCUUUACUUAGAAUAGUUGAUAUUGAAGUAAUUAUAAUCAAAACUGUUAUUUAUGUUAUUUUGAUCAUGUUGUUUCUUUUGGUAAAUUGAAGGAACAAUGGUGCAACUAUAGUGGAUAAUUUGGAUAUUGAAAACAUUGACAUCAUCCUGAAUCCAUCUCAGAGUGGUGAAAUGGCUCUACUGCUAGCUGAGUUCAAGCAUACUCUAAAUGAAUACUUAGGAGGAUUGAGCGACUCCCUGGUGAAGUCACUAGCAGAAGUUAUUGCCUUCAACUCCAACAAUCCUGAUUUGGUAAGUAUUGGAUCGUAGCAACAGUAAUGGAGGUCUUAGAUUCUCUCUGAACUCUCUUCCACUACGUAACAAGAUGUAGCUCACCAGUCUCGGCCAGAAAAAAGAUUGAUGGAUUUCCUUCUGUUUCAUUGACCUUCUGAUUAAUACUCACUAACUCAAGCCUCAAAUACUGCAGGAGAAGAUGGAAGAGUAUGGUCAGGAUGGGUUAAUUGCAGCACAGAUGACAAACAUACUUGAUGAGGAAGUUGUCAAGACAGAACGUAUGAUGAAAAAGUUGUCCGAAGAGGGAUUUGAAAAACUAAUGAAGGAAAACGAGUUGGAUGCUAUGGUGACACUAGGUGCAGAUGCUGCCACAAUUCUGGCAAUUGGAGGCUAUCCAGCGCUUACUGUUCCCGCUGGAUAUGACGACAAUGGAAUGCCAUAUGGAAUUUGCUUUGGGGGAUUGAAGGGAUCGGAAGCCAAGUUGAUUGAGAUUGCCUAUUCUUUUGAACAAGCCACAAGGAUUCGUAAACCUCCUCUUUCAUUUUCUUUUGAAUUUCACAAUCAGUAUUAUGAGUAAAGCAAUGGCACCGUGCGCAUACACGAGUUUUCCACUUCAUUUCCAAUGAGAAUGCGUCGAAAGUUGUGAGGCUAGGUAAGAUGUCUGUAACUAGUUAAGAGAUACAAGGUUCGUAUUAUUUGCUAUCUAGUCUGACUGUUCCUUAGAGCUGUCUGUAACAUCUGUUUCUUGUGUAUAUUUGACAAAUAACUACUGCAAUGUAAAUAAGCUCUAGUUCAUCGAGUUGCGAAUGAUAAUUUUAUUUCGGUCGGGACACAUGUUUUAGUUAGCCCAUGCUUGAUAUAUUAGCUCCGGAUAAUCUAGGCUGUGAAUUUUCAGAAUUUGUUAUGUCUGCAUUCAUGUUAUAGUAAAAAUUCAACCAAACUUUGAAGAUUUUUACAUUUUAGCAGUCCCAAUUUUGCUUGUGCUCAUCUCACUUUUCACAACCCAUAAUUAACUUCUGCCUAGCGAUCAUGAUGUGCUGAUAUCUUGCUUUUUCUCUUUCUUGUCGAAAGUGCACGCAUGAUUUCACAUUUCGUUAUGUUCUCUUACCUCCAUUGUUGAGCCAUUCUUGCAUCUUGACCUGCAUAUAGAAGCAGCCGCAUUGCCUUUGGCCGGAGGUCUUGAAUAGCGGAGCAGAGCAUACGAUCAUCAUGCAGGAACGCUGACCUGGAAAGAUACCAAUAGAAGUUCCAAGGUUGGUGCUGAUAAACCAAUGAAUUCAUAUCGGUCACCAUAAUCAUGGCCACCUCUUUCUUGGUGUAAUUUUUAGCCUUUUGCCUUUUCCUAAAUUAGGAAUUGCAGAUCCUCUCCUGAUUCUGAUGAGUGGUUCUCGGCUUUUCUUGUUCUUGCUAAAUUAAGUCUGUUCACUGUUGAGCUAAGUUCUGGACUCAUCUGAUUGACACCAACGGCUACUAGCCCACCUUAAAUUUAUUUUCUCAAAGUUGACGAAAAUAAUGAUUAAAAUCAUAAAUAAAAAGUUUGAAAUAAUGGCUGUGCAUUGUCAUGAAUUGUUAUAAGCUUACUUUUUUUUUUUUCCUUAUAACGUGAAGUGUCUAAAUUUGUAAGCCUGAUUAAUUCCAAAUAAUCGUGCUCUUGCAUGAGGUCCCGAUAAUGCACAUCGAAUAAAGUUACCCCUAAGAUAGAAAAAAGUUCAUGAAAUAUUUGACUAAAAGAGCCUCGGAGCACAAGAGGAUAUAAGUUAAAUUAUCGAAAAUAUGGAAUUAUGUUUCUAAUCAAAAUAUUAAGUCAACCAAGACCCAGAAAAGCUGUGAUUUAACUUGCUCCAAAGCAUGAAUUUUUGCGAUGCUUCCAUCUGUAGCCAGCGUCAACAGAUUUCUUUCACGCUAAGUUUAGUGACUACUCUCGACUUUAUUAUUGAGUCCCCAUGUUUAAUAACAUAUCUUCUUUUUUUUAAAAAAAUAUUAUGGAGGGAACUUCUUCAUCACUUGCUUGGAGUUGCAGACUCUCUUGGAGUUGCAGACACUCUCUCUUUCUCUCUCUUCAAGUUUCAGCGUUGACCGCAGGUUCGAACUCCGGACACCGAUCACCACUCGGCGACGGCGACGGCGAAGGCGACGAUGACUUCCCUCUUCUCGCUCUCCCUCGCUCUCCUCUCCCUCUCCUUCCUGACGACCGCCGUCGCUGCUUCCGAGUUCACCUUCCACGAGGCCACCAUCGAGUCCAUCCACCUCGCCUUCGCCCAGAACAGGCUCACCUCCCGCCAGCUCGUCGACUUCUACCUGGACCGAAUCCAGACCCUGAACCCCUCCCUCCGCUGCGUCCUGGAGGUCAACCCCAACGCCCUCGCCCAGGCCGACGAGGCCGACCGGCUGCGGGC